rnacentral:rRNA from 1 species
UACGUAGGGGGCUAGCGUUGUCCGGAAUCAUUGGGCGUAAAGAGCGUGUAGGCGGCCCGGUAAGUCCGCUGUGAAAGUCGGGGGCUCAACCCUCGGAUGCCGGUGGAUACUGUCGGGCUCGAGUACGGAAGAGGCGAGUGGAAUUCCUGGUGUAGCGGUGAAAUGCGCAGAUAUCAGGAAGAACACCUAUGGCGAAGGCAGCACUCUGGGACGGUACUGACGCUGAGACGCGAAAGCGUGGGGAGCGAACAGG